rnacentral:lncRNA from 1 species
ACAAAAAACUAAAAUAUUAUUAACUUAAUAAAAUCAUCCAUUACAUAAUCAUUCAUUAUCUUUACAAUUAAUAAUGCACAUUUAUUCAACAAACACAAACACAAGUACACUAUAAAAUAAAACAUAAAAAAUAUUAUAUACAUCAUUUAAAAUCAUUCACAUUACAACUCAAGACUUAACAAUUGCUUAAUCAAAUUUAGAGCAAAUUUAUUGUCACAAAUUUGGCCUCAUGGAGACCCACAUGCCACAUCAUCCAAUAGCCUUUUUGCCGAUUCAAAAAUCAGAGAAGGAAGAAAAACACCAGACCACCUGCCAAACUUAAAACACAGAGAUGACAAAUGAGCAUAAGAUGGAAGAAUAUCCACUAUACCAAUAAGCCUAUAAAAAGAACAGAAAAGCUACAUGCACCUAAUUUAUACACAUGAUCAUGCAGCCAAACAGAUCACACAUCAAGUUGAUAACAAACAUAAUUAACUUGCCAAUAAUAUCCGAAGUAACUUAUACAUCAGCAAGUACAAAAACUUAGGCAUUGUAGUAAAUGUUACCAAACGGAAGGGAAAUAAUAUUGUAGUAAUUGUUACCAAACGGAAGGGAAAUAAUAUUGGGUAAAAUUCUGGACCGAACAAAUUAUUCAUCUCAAAUAUCGAGCCACAAAACAUUCUAUUGGACAAAAAAAUUCAAUGCCGAAGUCUCUGAUUUGAAUUAUCCAGGCAUGAUACUACAAUACAAUACAAUCACCAUGUUAAUAUGCUUCCAUACCUCAAACUCUCUUGCCAUACCUCAAACUCUCUUGCCAUUUUAAAUACGGUAAAAUGGAGAGACAGAAUUAUAUAAAAUAUCUCCAAAACAUUUUACCACCUAUAUUAUCAUAUCAUAUUAGAAACAAAAACAACAACAAUCACAAGACAGAAAAGGAUAGCAGCAGCAUUAUCAGUUGUAAUACACAUUGAUACAACCAAAGAUGCAUAUUGAAAUUAUUUCCAAAGCUUCUCAUAUCCACAAUGCUCUUGUUGGGACAAACAAAAAGAAAAUUAAUGCCAGUCAGCCCUUCAUCAACCAUUUUUUUAUCUAGCCCCUGUACACUACCAAUGCCCACCNN